UUCCGCUUGCUUUAUUUCUUUGUUCUCAUUUUAGUUUUUGUCGAUUUUUUCAUUUGAUAGGUUUGGAUGAAGUUUUUUUUCAAUUUUGGUAUUUGGGUUUGGCUAAUGUUGCAGGCAUAAAAUUUAAACUUGAUUAGAUGUUGUUAUGGUCGUCAUUUUCUCCUUCUCUUCUCUGUCGUCCCCUGUUUACAUAUUUGUAUUUCAAUUCUUAGUUAUUGAAGUGCAGUGUUUCUUAUGUAGAUGUUUUUUCAAUUUGUUAAGUUUUUCAGGUAGGUCAUUGCAUAUACCUUGAGAAAAAAGGAAAGGAAAGAAUUUGAACAGAUGAGAUGUUGGGAACAUCGAGUUCUCUCUACUCUCUUUCUCAAUUAUAUAUAUGUAAUUUUCCUUUCCUUUGAUAAAUUGAGCACCAAUACGUGAACUUGAAUCCCCAAUUUAGGUUACUUUUGAAAUGGUUUCUACAUGAUUUUGAUCUUAUAUAAACCUAUUUCUAUAAAUGACUGUGACAGAGGACCUUUUAUCUUAGAAAAAAUAUUCUAUACCUCUUCCCAGUAAAUACAGAGAAAUACUCAAAAUUACAUGUCACGUAUGGGUAUGUAAACAAAGCAACAAAUUUAUACUGGUCAAAUGGCAUUAUCACUUAAUAUUCUCUCCAAUGCUUGAAUCAGCUUUGGAGAAAUCACUUCAAUUCGGCAUAAUCGACUAUUUCUAGUACGAGAGACAACUCUUUCUCAGUUGAGUAUGUCUGCUCAACCAACUCUACAAGAAUGUUGGAAAGAAAUUGAAAUCUUACAAGUGUUUGCUAAGAUAAAACUCUUCUAUGUUGAGAAAAGAAAUGUCAAUAUCAAAUGAGCCGCAAGAGUUUUGUGUGCGUGAAUGCUCAUGCUGCAAACAAAAGAAGCGUAGAAAGGAUAAAAAGGAUUUUGAGUACCCAAAAUGCGCAUCUUGGAAAUUGAUCUUAUUGAUGGCACUCCUUCGGCUACAACAUCCAUUUCUGAUUUAUUGGGAGAAACAUCAUUCUCCGUGACAACAGAAAACAUAUUUGACAUAAUUUGCAUUAAGAAGCAAUUGUUGUAUCUUAACCAUUUCCAUAAGAUGUGUCAAAUAAACUAUUUCAAAUUCAGCUAAGGAAAUUAUCUUGGGACAACUCAAAUACCAUACAUACAACUUUGUUAGUUCUUUCCUAUGUGCAAAAAAGAACACUCUUCCGCCCAACACUAUUAGGAGGGAUUCCAAAAUGAUCAAGCCUCUAUAGAUCAGUGAGGUGAGAAACAGAAAACAAGUAUUGCAUCUGAUUUCUCAAGUGAGAAGCUGAAAUAUGAACCAUUCACACUAACAAAAAAAGGUGUAAAAGUGUUUCAACCAUUUUGAGCACUUUGAGUUGAUCGAGACUUUCCCGGGAUAUGUUGAAUAUGACAUCUCAGAUGUUGCUUCCGGCCAGCAUAUUCCCCAGGUGCUCCUCUUUUACCAGUGUAUGAUUGUAAUCCCAUAGUACUAUGGAUAUACUAUUAUGUGCUUCAUAUUUUCAGUUUCUUACAGACUUUACACUUUCAUCAGAAAUUACCUCGACUUUUCAGGUUUACUAAACAUUUUUCUCAGGUUCCUCGAAGCUAUGUUUUUUUCAAUGCAGAAGAAUAGCUACUAAAAAUUAUACUCUUAGACUCCAAAUAUUACAUCUGCUAAAUUAUGAAAUGGGCGUGCUCUAUGUCAAAACUAAAACAUCUGCUGUAUCUUUUGGAUGUAUAACAUUAGUUCAUGUUUGCAGAUCGCUUAAGUAGACACCAUACUGACAUCAGUUGUACAUAUACUGAAUAUUUUUAAUAGUAUGAUAUCAACCAUUUUUGUCGUA